GACGAACGCUGGCGGCGUGCUUAACACAUGCAAGUCGAACGAAGAGCGCUAGAAGCUUUCUUCGAUCAAGCUUAGUGGCGUACGGGAGAGUAACGCGAAAUCAACCUGCCCUUCAGAGGGGGACAACAGAAGGAAACGACUGCGAAUACCACAUAAGAUCCAAUCGCGGCAUCGUGACUGGAUGGGAAGAGGACUCUAUUGAUAAGCGAUCACAGCAGGCGGCGUAUGAGUCUGGUUAGCUAGUUGGAGGGGUAACGGCCCACCAAGGCGAUGAUCGGUAGCCGGUCUGCGACGUUGAACGGCCGCAUUGGGACUUAGACACGGCCCAGACUCCUGCGGGAGGCAGCAGUGGGGAAUCUUCCGCAAUGGACGAAAGUCUGACGGAGCAACGCCGCGUGAGUGAUGACGGCCUUCGGGUUGUAGAGCUCUGUUAAUCGGGACGAAUGGUUCUGGUGCGAGUAGUGCGAGGAUUUGACGGUACCGGAAUAGAAAGCCCCGGCUAACUACGUG
rnacentral:rRNA from 1 species